rnacentral:rRNA from 1 species
GGAUGAAUAUUGGUCAAUGGACGCAAGUCUGAACCAGCCAUGCCGCGUGGAGGAUGACAGCCUUCUGGGUUGUAAACUUCUUUUAUAUGGGAAGAAAAGUACGGUUUCUACUGUAUCCGACGGUACCAUAUGAAUAAGCACCGGCUAACUCCGUGCCAGCAGCCGCGGUAAUACGGAGGGUGCAAGCGUUAUCCGGAUUUACUGGGUUUAAAGGGUGUGUAGGCGGAUAUUUAAGUCAGAGGUGAAAUCU